rnacentral:lncRNA from 1 species
UCUGCUCUUAUACUCGGUGUUAAAACUCGCUCACUUCUUCUUUUGGCAGAGGAGUCUGAGUGCUUCAUUUGCAGAGAUGUUGGCCUGGUGGGUGAAGAUCCUCUGCGAACCUUCUGCGACUGUAAGAACCUUGUAGCUCACCACAGCUGUCUGCUAACCUGGAUAAAAAAGGGUCUUGGACGAGAGGAGAGACUCAGAUGUAGCGUUUGCAAUGCCGAGUAUCAGCUGCAGAGAUGUGCACCCUGGCGGACCGUGGCCUCUCAGUGGCAGACCUGGCCCAUUCUAGCCAUCGCUAUUCUCCUGCUGGCUCUGGUGCCAUACGUGGUGUACCGGAUGAUGACUGCUUUUGACAAUCCCCCUCCACACUCGCUUUUCAAGUCAGCUGCAAUCGGCUUUGGCCUGCUUAGUGAAGCCCUGUUGCUCAAGUGCUUGUGCAGUUACUUCAGCCACCGACUUCAGCGAGCAGAGCAAAGCUCCUUUAGCCUCCAGCCUCGCAGAUCUGAGGAGCAUGGAGGAGUCCAAACUAAUCUGAGGCAGUGUACCACGGCAGGGGUCAAAGGUUAGGACUCACAGACAUUGGUGGGAGAGAGGAACCACUUGGUUGUAAGCUCUGAGAGGACAGGAUGAGGGCUUCCACCGUUAAAUAUGACCAGAGGGAAUAAGACCUGUGGUGCGAGAAGAAGAAGAAAAAAGAAAAAGACUGACUUCUGGAGAGAUCCUGCUACCGACAAAGGCAGAGUUAGAGCAGCCGAAACCCAGUGUAAGUGGCAGAAAAACUGAAAUGGAUGAUGCCAGCCGCUCUAUUUUCCUGGGUGGAAAAUAAAUGGAUACUUUAUUGCUCUUGGAUGGAUUUUGACGUUAUGAUCAAAACAGUGUUUAAUCAGUACAGUUGAGUUGGUACAAAGCUUUAUCAAUUUACUUUAUCAAUAUCUUAAAGCCUUAUAAUAGUUUUAUGUAAUUCAUUGCACAUGUCACUUUUUAAUUGUCUAACUUUUUCAAAGGAUUUUUGGAACUUCUGAGCCCA